UACGUAGGGCGCAAGCGUUUGUCCGGAAUUAUUGGGCGUAAAGAGCUCGUAGGCGGUCUGUCACGUCUGCCGUGAAAACCCGAGGCUUAACCUCGUGGCUUGCAGUGGGUACGGGCAGACUAGAGUGUGGUAGGGGAGACUGGAAUUCCUGGUGUAGCGGUGAAAUGCGCAGAUAUCAGGAGGAACACCGAUGGCGAAGGCAGGUCUCUGGGCCACUACUGACGCUGAGAAGCGAAAGCAUGGGGAGCGAACAGG
rnacentral:rRNA from 1 species